rnacentral:rRNA from 1 species
UAGGGAAUCUUCCACAAUGGACGCAAGUCUGAUGGAGCAACGCCGCGUGAGUGAAGAAGGUUUCGGAUCGUAAAGCUCUGUUGUUGGUGAAGAAGGAUAGAGGCAGUAACUGGUCUUUAUUUGACGGUAAUCAACCAGAAAGUCACGGCUAACUACGUGCCAC